rnacentral:siRNA from 1 species
AAAGAGGAUCAGAUCAUCGACCG